rnacentral:rRNA from 1 species
UUUCAGUAGGGAAGAAACAAAUGACGGUACCCAAGCAGAAAGCCCCGGCUAACUACGUGCCAGCAGCCGCGGUAAUACGUAGGGGGCAAGCGUUGUCCGGAAUUAUUGGGCGUAAAGCGCGCGCAGGUGGUGAAUUAAGUUGUGGGUAAAAGGCAUUGGCUCAACCAAUGUAAGCCUGCAAAACUGGUUCACUUGAGUGCAGGAGAGGGGAGUGGAAUUCCCGGUGUAGCGGUGGAAUGCGUAGAUAUCGGGAGGAACACCAGUGGCGAAGGCGACUCUCUGGCCUGUAACUGACACUGAGGCGCGAAAGCGUGGGGAGCGAACAGGAUUAGAUACCCUGGUAGUCCACCCCGUAAACGUUGGGAACUAGUUGUGGGGUCCAUUCCACGGAUUCCGUGACGCAGCUAACGCAUUAAGUUCCCCGCCUGGGGAGUACGGCCGCAAGGCUAAAACUCAAAGGAAUUGACGGGGACCCGCACAAGCGGCGGAGCAUGCGGAUUAAUUCGAUGCAACGCGAAGAACCUUACCAAGGCUUGACAUAUACGAGAACGCUGCAGAAAUGUAGAACUCUUUGGACACUCGUAAACAGGUGGUGCAUGGUUGUCGUCAGCUCGUGUCGUGAGAUGUUGGGUUAAGUCCCGCAACGAGCGCAACCCUCGUUCUAUGUUGCCAGCACGUAAU